GAGAGUAUGAUUUUUGCUUUAACUUCUUUUUUAUAGUUAGAGAAUAUAUGUAAGUUUUUUAUGAGAGGUAAAGUAAAAGUUAAAAACUUAUAUAUUUUCUUGAAUAAAAAGUUUUGAGGGAUAGAGUUGCAGUAUAAAGUAUUAUAUAUUAAGGGAUUCCUUGAUUUGGUAAAUUAUAAUAGCCCUGAUUAAGCUUUGUGCCAGCAAUCGCGGUUAAACUUGGGGGGCUAAGAGAAGAUUUUUAGCUGAAGUUAUUUAAAGUUAUAUCUUUAUUUUUGUCUGUAAUGAUAAAAGGUGAAAUUAGUUAUUUUAAGUAAACAAAAAGGAAGUAUAAGGAUGGAGAAGCUUAAGAGAUUGAGGGAUAAACUAGGAUUAGAUACCCUAUUAUACUUAAAAGAAACUAGAAAGGCUUGAGGAUUAAUAGAUAAGUUCUUUAAAUUUAAAGGAUUUGGCGGUACUUUAGUCUAGUCAGAGGAACCUGUUUCAUAAAUGAUACAGCACGUAAUAUCUUACUAUUUUUGUGUCUAGUUUGUAUACCUCCAUUAUUAGAUAACUUUUAUAGAAGGAAGUUAUUGAGAGUAAGAGUUUAAAUAUAUUAGGUCAAGGUGCAGCUUAUAAGAUAGAGAGAAUGGGUUACAAUAAAAUUUUAUUUAAACGGAGUAGUGAAGGAAUUUUUAUUAUAAAGGAGGAUUUGAUUGUAAUUAAGAGAUUUAAUAAGCUUUGAUGAUAUUAGUACUAAAUUAUGUACAUAUUGCCCGUCGCUUUCAUUUAAAGUGAGAUAAGUCGUAACAUAGUAAGUGUGCUAGAAAGUGCCCUUAGAAUUAGA
rnacentral:ncRNA from 1 species